rnacentral:rRNA from 1 species
GGGCCCGCACAAGCGGAGGAACAUGUGGUUUAAUUCGAUGAUACGCGAGGAACCUUACCCGGGCUUGAAAUACUAUCGAUGUAUGGGGAAACCCAUAUUCCAGCAAUGGCGAUAGUGUAGGUGCUGCAUGGUUGUCGUCAGCUCGUGCCGUGAGGUGUCGGCUUAAGUGCCAUAACGAGCGCAACCCUUAUCAUUAGUUACUAACAGGUAGAGCUGAGGACUCUAAUGAGACUGCCGCCGUAAGGUGAGAGGAAGGUGGGGAUGACGUCAAAUCAGCACGGCCCUUAUGUCCGGGGCGACACACGUGUUACAAUGGGGGGUACAGAGGGAAGCAUCCAUGCGAGUGGUAGCUGAUCUUAAAAGCCUCUCUCAGUUCGGAUUGGAGUCUGCAACUCGACUCCAUGAAGCCGGAUUCGCUAGUAAUCGCGCAUCAGCCACGGCGCGGUGAAUACGUUCCCGGGCCUU